AACGAACGCUGGCGGCAGGCCUAACACAUGCAAGUCGAGCGAGCAUUUCGGUGCUAGCGGCGGACGGGUGAGUCACGCGUGGGAACGUGCCCUUUUCUGCGGAAUCGUCCUGGGAAACUGGGGGUAAUACCGCAUACGCCCUUUUGGGGCAAGAUUUAUCGUAGAAGGAUCGGCCCGCGUUGGAUUAGGUAGUUGGUGUUGUAAUGGCCCACCAAGCCGACGAUCCAUAGCUGGUUUGAGAGGAAGAUCAGCCACACUGGGACUGAGACACGGCCCAGACUCCUACGGGAGGCAGCAGAGGGGAAUCUUAGACAAUGGGGGCAACCCUGAACGAGCCAGGCCGGGUGAGUGAUGAAGGCGUUAGGGAUGUAAAGCACUUUAAGCUGGGAAGAUAAUGACGGUACCAGAAGAAGAAGCCCCGGCUAACUCCGUG
rnacentral:rRNA from 1 species